AAAAGAGGUAAAAGAUAAAUGGAAUUUAUCCAACUUAAGAAAAAUCUGAUACACAGUAGAUGGAGUUCAGCAAGGUUGGGUUCUUCUCUAUAGUGGUGUGCAUUUAUUGUUUUCUCUGAUUUCACCGUUCACCUCCACCUCGCCGCCGCCAUUAACACUUUCCUUCGUGCUCCUCUCUCAGGUAAAUGGGUCUGUGGACAUUACUUGAGGGGUUCCUUCUUCUUGCAAAUGCACUAGCAAUUCUGAAUGAGGACCGAUUUCUUGCACCUAGAGGAUGGGGCUUAUCAGACUUUUCGGCCGGCCAGACAAAGUCUUUCAAAGGCCAGGUUUUAGGUCUCAUUUAUGCAACACAGUACCUAAGAUUUCCUCUUAUACUUCUGAACUCUAUCUGCAUUAUCGUGAAGUUAGUUUCUGGAUGACGCCAGCAAGGUUCAAGAGUUAUCAUCAGAUUAUUUCAAAAUGUUCUUAGGUAGGAAAAUUGGACAAUGAUUAUCUACCCAAAAAAGGUCAAAUUCUAUUGUAGAAAUAUACAUUAAAAGUGUUCUUUUUAGGAUAUUUGUUGUCGUAAAAUCAAGUUUGCAAUAGUGACAUACGAAUCAGAAAAUGAGUUCAUUGUGCGGGUGUUGUAUUCAAUUUUUAAGAAUUGGUUACCCUCUGCAAGUUUUCCUUGUAUAAAUUCAGAUUGAUUUUAACUGCUUCUUGUUUGA